CUACUCGAAAGAGUAGCUAAUACCGCAUAAGACCUAAGGGUGAAAGCGGGGGACCUUCGGGCCUCGCGCAGUUGGAGCGGCCGAUGACUGAUUAGCUAGUUGGUGGGGUAAAGGCCUACCAAGGCGACGAUCAGUAGCUGGUCUGAGAGGACGACCAGCCACAUUGGGACUGAGACACGGCCCAAACUCCUACGGGAGGCAGCAGUGGGGAAUAUUGGACAAUGGGCGAAAGCCUGAUCCAGCGACGCCGCGUGAGCGAUGAAGUAUUUCGGUAUGUAAAGCUCUAUCAGCAGGGAAGAAAAUGACGGUACCUGACUAAGAAGCCCCGGCUAACUACGUGCCAGCAGCCGCGGUAAUACGUAGGGGGCAAGCGUUAUCCGGAUUUACUGGGUGUAAAGGGAGCGUAGACGGAAGUGCAAGUCAGAAGUGAAAGCCCGGGGCUUAACCCCGGGACUGCUUUUGAAACUGUGCAUCUAGAGUGCAGGAGAGGUAAGCGGAAUUCCUAGUGUAGCGGUGAA
rnacentral:rRNA from 1 species